ACCAAGAGAAAACUAAACAAACAAAGGAAUCUACAAACAAACAUACUAACAAAAAUAAAACAAAUACGAAAACCAAGGGAGAGGGACACACCCUUAACAAUUUGGAAGGUUCCCUUUGUUGUCGUUCAUUCAUAUAAAAAUAAUUAUCAUCGAUUUUGAGUAGACGGUAAGAUCAUUAUAACUGAGGACUCUCCUGCACUGGAUGUGAAAGAAUACACCCGCUGGAAUGCAAUACUGGUCUCAAGGAGAAGGAAUGGGUUCUGUGAUCUUCUUUUUUUCUUUGGAAGAAAUCUGUUGAUUCACUGUUUAAUAUGUUUAACAAAUGGAAUGCUUUACAUGAUAAAGAGAGGUCUGCUACUUAUUUUGUCUUCAUUUUUCAAGUAUGGAGUAUGGAGUAAGAGAGACCACCAAAAGAGGGCAUCGAAGGCAUUAGCAUUAGCAUUUGAGAGGCAUCUCGUAGAAAAUCCUUUUAUCCUUCUAUAGAGAGACGCAAAUAUAUCGCCGAUAUUCGCCUCACUUUCCCGGUCACCGAUUUUCUAAGACGGUCCGAAAUUAACCUGGUAGUGUGGGGAUGUUACCAUUAAACUAAACCAAAUUGAAAUCACAAGGGUGCAGCCCGUGCUUAAAUGCAAAACUUGACGCAAUUGGAUAUCCUUAUCCUCCUUAAAGCGCAGACAAUAAUUAGCUCAUAUAAUCUUGAUGUCUGUAACCAUAUGUACUUUGUCUUCUAAUUUUCUCCAAAUUUCAUUUACCCAUUUUUUAUUGAGUGCACUUAUUGUACUUACAUAGUAAGCUCUUUAUUUCAACUAACAUAAAAAUAUAUAAACAGAAAAAAAAAUAUGUAUUUAAUUGGCAAUCUAGCAUUUUAACUAAUUAAAGCUAUUUCGAGCUGUCAUUUACCCUUCAUUUACAUUUUUUGGUGAUAUUGAGACUAUUGUAACUGUAGGUAGGGGAUGAAUUAUUAAAAGUGACUUGUUGUA